UUCAUCCCUUCUCACGCAUGAGCCGUCACGCUCGACGCAAAACGCAUCCGUUGCUGUUUUAAGUCACGCCUGCUGCAAGUUUUCUUUUGCUUGUGUGCGCCUGGAUAAUGAACUGACUGCGCCAUUCAACCGGAGGACAACGAAGCAACUGUCGUCGCCACGUGCCUCCCAGCUAACCUACAAGGUUAAUCCCGUGCAACCACGUGGCCGUGUCACUACUCCGGGGAACAACGCAACCAAGUGACCGUGUCACUACUCCCGAGAACAACCCAACCAAGUGACCGUGUCACUACUCCGGGGAACAACGCAACCACGUGACCGUGGCACUUCUCUGAGGGACAAUGGAGCAACCGUCGUCGCUACGUUUGAUCUUCGGCAGUUAUAUUCACCAGGUGCGAUUCUAGCUUGCGAGGGUGGCGCGGCUACUAAAUCAACUAAUUGGCAAUGUUAAUUGUUUUAGACUGAUUGGCAAGAGAAGGGCCGCUGCCACAUUGGGUCGUCGUCGUGACGCAAGCGGAGAGGACUGGGCGGGGCGAUUGUAGCUUUAGGCUUAUAGCUAACACUAGGAAGGGUAGCUCGCGCUGUGCAGGCUCCAGCUGGCAGGGGUCCUCUCUCGUUUGCGACACGGACAUCGGCCCAUUCCGAGUGCUAUUGCUUCCCGGUCAUAAUUUCGCGUGUCGGCGAGCACGAAAUGUGGAAGUAAAUUGCACCCGGAAUUAAUUAGUGUCAGGUUUCUUCCAGCAAAACAGAAGAAGAACGGACGUUGCCUACGGUCUGCAGCGCGGCGCGCUGCAGCGAAGACGGUGGUGGGUGGCCGCAUUUUUUUUCCGUAUGUUCUCGUCCUAAUGUGGUGUCACGCCGUGCUUUCGUCGCUUGACAAGCCAACCAUCGUGGACUAGUCCCAUCGCCCACUCCAGCGCGAUGACGCUUGGUGAGUACGUGCUUUCUGGUUACUUUCGUCAUUUAACAAGUGCCCCCCCCCCCCUUUUUUUUUUACGUUUCAGAUCUGCAACCUGUGCCUUGGCCCCUGGCAGAUGUUCCUGCACCCGGCCGUGUCUCGCCCAGAUCACGUUCAGUACCCGCCUGUCGUCCAGCAGCUGAUCGGGACUUCACUUCUGGUGUCCUGGUGAAUGAAGAUGCCUGCAAUAGCCGCCCUGCAGAGCGUUCACUGCACUCCACAUCCUUUGAUGCCAGACGCACGCGACGGAUUUUCCUGCACCCGGCCCUCUCUCGCACAGAUGAUGUUCAGCACCAGUCGUCCCACGGCUCAUCGUGUCACUUCUGUUCCUGCCUCAUUGCUAUUGGUGUCCUGCUGAAUUAAGAUGCUUGCAAUUUCUGUGCUGCAGUACGUCGACUGCAUUCUGCAACCCUUGUCUCGACAUCUGCCGUCCGUCAAGGUCUGUACCACCAGUGUAAUAUGCAAUGACACCAAGUGCAGACCGUAGGGAGGUAGGCGUUUCUCUCGCCACUCAUCGCAUUGCUGCUCCCGAAAACGUCGUGCUGCAGGAAACGUUCUUCGCUUCCUCGACGAGGCCACACAACUAUGAAGUCCCAAGAAAGAGCGCGACGUCGCGUGACAUGAAUGCUCAUCUAACAUCCCGGUUGGAGUUGCUCGUUCGACCCUAUCGAAGAUGACGGCCACUUGAUGAAGUCGCAUAUUUUUCAGUGGCUGUGACCGUAUGACGGGGGUACCCAGGUAACAUGCUGUUCUAGCUCAUCGUAGUGGUACACUGCUCAGACUCUAGCAUUGGGUUGAUGUGGGGAUUCUUGCUUCUUACGUUCAUUGGCAUUCUGUGCUUUUGUAAUGGUACAACGAUGCUGCUUUGCGUUUCCGAAUUGUGCGCGCGCGCGCAUUGCGCAUUGGUGUGUGUUUGUGUG